GGUGUAUUUAUAAAACCGACGCUGCGGAGAUCACAAGGUUUUGUACCUGGGACUUCAGAAUGAGGAGUCUGCCAUUGUCACUUGGCACAUUCACAGAUACAGAGUCAGUUCGCUGGCUCAGACAUCAUUUCCAUAUCUAAGCAGCACCAAGAUAAAUCUGGCAGUGCUAUUGAUGAUGAAGAGAUUGGCCUCCAGAUCACACCUAUGUCGUUCAGAAGUUGGGAGCCAUGCUGGAGAAUUCAGAUUGGGCAUCUUUCCUGG
rnacentral:lncRNA from 1 species